rnacentral:misc_RNA from 1 species
UAGCCACUAAACGAUGUUCUAUUUACAGCUUGUUUCAUUAGCUUCCUCUUUUAGUUGUUGACGCAGAACUAAUUCAUCUAAAGCUUCUCUCAUCCACCAAUUAUGGCAUACUUCUCUGGCCUCCUUCACAGUCACCCAUUUUCGUUUUCUGAUACUCUUUUCUGGCCAUAGAUCUAAUUCCUUAUGAACAAGCAAAGGAAACAUAUAGACCUCAUGCAUUUUGGCACCCCUUUUGCUCCUAUAUAGCCAUUUCCCCAAUUCACAUUCAACUUUGCCAAUCACUCCUGCUUCCUCAAAAGUCUCUCGCAGUGCUGCUUGUACCAUGGAUUCAUCCUCUUCCCAUCCUCCCUUAGGGAACAACAUUCCUUGACCACUUUGUGAACUGAUGACAAGAACUUCUAUAUCUUCAGUAGAAGUUCCAUCAAUGGAAGAUGGUUGAUCAGUUUUCUUAUAUCUGUAAGGAAUACACCCUACAACUAGGCGGCAACCUCUAUCAUAACGCUGAAGAUGGCGACCAGUGCGAGAAACCAAGGAAAUCAUGUUCUCAAAUUGCGCAGGCAACAAUUUUGAAGGGAGUUUAUCAAUGAAAGGGAGAAGAAAGGAAAGGAAAUUUGCAAAGUUUCUCAUAAAGAAAGAGAGCCCUCUCAUGUUUGAUUNUCAUGUUUGAUUGUAUUCCUCCUCAAUGAAAGGAAAAAAAAAAAAUUCUUGGGUGGGUUUG